UGUUUAAUUUAUCUUUCAGAUUGAGAUGGAAUUAGAUGAUAAUGAUGCGCCUCCAAAUAUAUCGCAAUGCGAAUCAGAAGCAAUGACAGAAGAAAAUCAAUAUAAGGAAAAGGACCAGGCUUCAAACGUAUUACCUGAAAAUCAAUGUGAAGAAAGUAAUGCACUUCCAUAUAUAGUUGAAGGCACAUCUGAAGUAACGAUGCAGCCUGAAAUACAAAACUUGGGGCACCGAAUAAUAGAUUUUAAUCAUUUCACAUCAGAACUUGUAAAAAUUUCUCAACACAAAUCUCUGUUUAAAUGCGGAUUAUCUACAAUGAAAUUAAUUUCUGAACAUCGAAUAGGAUUGCAAUCUGAAUACACAUAUGUAUGUAUGAUGUGUAAUUAUAAAAAUAAAAUAAAAUCGUCAUUGGAUGAUGUGAACAAAGAUGCUGU